AAAAAAGCUUCGCGAACGAGGACUGCAGUUGACCGUACCGUAAUCCGACACAGGUAGACGAGGCGAGUAGCCUAAGGGGCUCGAGUGAUUUACGGAAAAGGAACUCGGCAAAAUGACCCCGUAACUUCGGGAUAAGGGGUGCCAGUAGUAGCUGACCUAACCAAGGGAAGGCGAGGCUGGCCGCAGAGAAUCGUCUCAAGCGACUGUUUAGCAAAAACACAGGAGCGUGCUAAGGCGUUGUCCAAGCCUACGUAUACGCUCUGACUCCUGCCCGGUGCCGGAAGGUUAAGGCAAGUCGUCAGCCGCAAGGCGAAGCGAUGCACCGAAGCCCCGGUAAACGGCGGCCGUAACGAUAACGGUCCUAAGGUAGCGAAAUUCCUUGUCGGGUAAGUUCCGACCUGCACGAAUGGAGUAACGACUUGAGAGCUGUCUCUUCCGUAAGCUCGGCGAAAUAGAAGCAUCGGUGAGGAUUCCGAUUACCCGCGACAGGACAAAAAGACCCCAUGCACCUUUACUACAACCUGUCAUUGAUUGUCGGUAUGCGCUGCGUAGCAUAGGUGGGAGCCAUUGAGACCGCGGUUUUGGCUGCGGUGGAGGCACCAGUGAAAUACCACCCUUCGUUUACUAACAAUCUCACUCAGCCGGCAACACCGGCGAGGACCGUGGCAGGCGGGUAGUUUGACUGGGGCGGUCGCCUCCUAAAGAGUACCGGAGGCGCGCAAUGGUUGGCUCAGUGCGGUCGGUAAUCGCACGUGGAGUGUAUACGCAAAAGCCAGCCUGACUGCGAGCGCUACAGCGCGAGCAGGGACGAAAGUCGGUGUAAGUGAUCCGGCGGGACCGUGUGGACGGCCCGUCGCUCAUCGGAUAAAAGGUACGCUGGGGAUAACAGGCUUAUCGCGCCCGAGAGUUCACAUCGACGGCGCGGUUUGGCACCUCGAUGUCGGCUUGUCACAUCCUGGGGCUGGAGAAGGUCCCAAGGGUCCGGCUGUUCGCCGGUUAAAGUGGCACAUGAGCUGGGUUCAGAACGUCGUGAGACAGUUCGGUCUGUAUCCGUCGUGGGCGUGGGAGUGUUGAGGGACGUCGACCUUAGUACGAGAGGACCGGGUCGAAGCGACCGCUCGUGUACGGGCUGUUCCGCCAGGGGCAGCGCCCGGUAGCGAUGUCGCGCGAAGAUAACCGCUGAAAGCAUCUAAGUGGGAAACUUUUCCCAAGAUGAACACUCCUGGAUCUUAAGAUCCCUGUAGGGCCGUAGGAGACUACUACGUUGAUAGGCGGCAGAUGCACGGCACGUAAGUGCUUUAGUCGAGCCGUACUAAUCGCCCGUGAAGUUUGAUCUC
rnacentral:rRNA from 1 species